AUUGAACGCUGGCGGCAUGCUUUACACAUGCAAGUCGAACGGUAACAGGGUGGUUGCACCGCUGACGAGUGGCGAACGGGUGAGUAAUGCGUCGGAACGUGCCGAGUAGUGGGGGAUAACGCAUCGAAAGGUGUGCUAAUACCGCAUACGUACUGAGGUAGAAAGUGGGGGACCUUCGGGCCUCACGCUAUUCGAGCGGCCGACGUCUGAUUAGCUAGUUGGUGAGGUAAAGGCUCACCAAGGCGACGAUCAGUAGCGGGUCUGAGAGGAUGAUCCGCCACACUGGGACUGAGACACGGCCCAGACUCCUACGGGAGGCAGCAGUGGGGAAUUUUGGACGAUGGGCGCAAGCUUGAUCCAGCCAUGCCGCGUGUCUGAAGAAGGCCUUCGGGUUGUAGAGGACUUUUGUCCGGGAGCAAAUACCCAGUGCUAAUAACGCUGGGGGCUGAGAGUACCGGAAGAAUAAGCACCGGCUAACUACGUGCCAUCCGCCGCCGUAACAC
rnacentral:rRNA from 1 species